CCGGUUUCACAGGACUGUUCUGUGGUGCUGGCUACGUGUUCUACCCCAGAUGACCCGGGAGGGCAUACCAGCCAUACGCUUAACAUUGUGUGGCCUUGGCCUGGCCAAAGCAGGUGACAGCGGACUGGGACCUUUGUACUAGUUCUUCCCGUUGCUCUGUGUCGCGGAUCCUUGGUUGCUGAACCCCAGAGUGGAAACGAGUGAUUCAUCAAGCACUGAACUACAGGUCUCCAGUCGGCGUGAGAGACAAGGAGCAGACGCUGCACACGUGUGUGUUGACUUCAGCACCAAGAGGCUGGGAAUGGGAGCCUUUCUCUGCUCCUCUACCUCACACUCCUCUCCAUCCCACGAGGUCACUGUCUCCAUAAAAAUCUCCAAAUGCUCAGCCUUAAUGCACGGUGACUAACCAAGUUCUUGAGACAUACCCAGACAAAAACAUUUAAUUUCACCUGAUCUUUCACGUUGGAAAUCCUCUGGUCCUGUAGCACAGCACCCAGCAGGAGAAAGUUCUGGCAGGUCAUUCCCUAGGGCUUACACUGGUCUGAAGGAAUCACAUUGAAAUGGUUGCAGGUGGUGCUGUCCAGAGGAGGUGCUUUCCUCUGUCCCUGCCCAGGGAGAUUCUUUGUUAUCAUGCCCAUUCAGUAACCUCCACGGCCCACUUCCUGCGGAGCAGGACCCGAACCUCUCGCAGACUUCGUGGCUCUGCACAGGGGAAACAAUCUGACUUCCAGGUCUUUCUCCCUUCCCGGCCCAGGAAACCUUUGCCCCUGCCGACGUGUGUCUCCUCCUAGCCCUCCCAGUGUCUGAGUCUGCAGCCCCAGCCCUCAGAAACCUUGUGACCCCCACAGCUCAACUCCCUCACCCCCUCAGAAGGUUGUGUGUUCCUCGGUUUCCAGCUUCAGCCUCAGCCUGUCGGCAGCUCUCCUUGCCACCCUGGGCCGAAGCUAAAUUCAACAUGGCUCAAACUUGCGCUAUGUUCUCUCCCCAGAGCAUCUUCCACACGCCUAUCCACUUUCCUUGGGAGUCCCACCGGCCUCCCAGACACCCAGGCUGGGAAUCGCAACACUCUGAGGAGCUUUUCCUUCUCUUCAGCACCUGCAGCUACUGAGUCACCACAGUUUAUUCUGUGAUAGAUGCUGGCCAGCUCGUCACAGAGCCAUCGUGUCAAGGAGCUCUGACUACUUGCCCUACCGUCUCCAAACCAUGACUGCACGCUACUCAGGGUACAGGGGAGUUGGGGUGAUGAGAGGACCCAGUGUCCUGUGGCCUAAAUAAAGCAGGUGUUUAUUCCCGUUGUGUGACAGUUGGAGGUUCGGGCCAGACGCAACUUCUCUACGGCACGUACAGGGUGGGUCGGCCUCCGUCUGCACGCACGGCUGUGACUGCUGCUGCUGCUGCUGCUCCAAGUUCGAAACCUUCAGAGAGAGAUAAAGAGGGCGAGCCCGGCAGACGGCUGAGCCAGUCUAAGGAGUCAUGAACCAGAAGAGGAGGAAUGAGAGGAUGGUGACACUGCCUUCCUUUGAAAGAUGAGGAAACUGAGGCAUCGAUGAAGUGAGCUGGCUCCAGGCCUUGUUAGGCCUGGCUCC